rnacentral:lncRNA from 1 species
AGUGGUGAACCUGACGUGAAUCGAACACGAACACGAAAAGAUGGAUGCAGAGCAACCGGAGCGGGAAAUUCAAGUAGAGGGAAGUCUGGAAAACGGGGCGGUAGAAACAUAUGGGAAUCGACUGUCAACAGUUACUCGUGAAAGCCAAGGCGUGGGUGAACAGGUGCGUUUAGAAGAAAAUAUCGAAGAAGCACCUUAUCACCCCCAGCAGCGUACGCGCG